GACGAACGCUGGCGGCGUGCUUAACACAUGCAAGUCGAACGGAAAGGCCCCUUUGGGGGUACACGCGUGGCGAACGGGGGAGUAACACGCGAGUAACCUGCCCUUGACUUCGGGAUAACUUCAGGAAACAGGGGCUAAUACCGGAUAGGAAUCCUUGCUGCAUGGGGGGGGUUGGAAAGCUUCGGCGGUGUUGGAUGGACUCGCGGCUUAUCAGCUUGUUGGUGGGGUAGUGGCUUACCAAGGCUUUGACGGGUAGCCGGCCUGAGAGGGCGACCGGCCACAUUGGGACUGAGAUACGGCCCAGACUCCUACGGGAGGCAGCAGUGGGGAAUAUUGCACAAUGGGCGGAAGCCUGAUGCAGCAACGCCGCGUGCGGGAUGACGGCCUUCGGGUUGUAAACCGCUUUCAGCAGGGGCGAAGCUUGUGGUGACGGUACCUGCAGAAGAAGCACCGGCUAACUACGUG
rnacentral:rRNA from 1 species